UACGUAGGGUGCGAGCGUUAAUCGGAAUUACUGGGCGUAAAGCGUGCGCAGGCGGCGCGUUAAGACAGGUGUGAAAGCCCCGAGCUUAACUUGGGAAUUGCGCUUGUGACUGGCGUGCUGGAGUGUGGCAGAGGGAGGUGGAAUUCCACGUGUAGCAGUGAAAUGCGUAGAGAUGUGGAGGAAUACCGAUGGCGAAGGCAGCCUCCUGGGCCAGCACUGACGCUCAUGCACGAAAGCGUGGGGAGCAAACAGG
rnacentral:rRNA from 1 species